rnacentral:rRNA from 1 species
ACAUGCAAGUCGAGCGCCCCGCAAGGGGAGCGGCAGACGGGUGAGUAACGCGUGGGAAUCUACCCUUUUCUACGGAAUAACGCAGGGAAACUUGUGCUAAUACCGUAUGAGCCCUUCGGGGGAAAGAUUUAUCGGGAAAGGAUGAGCCCGCGUUGGAUUACCUAGUUGGUGGGGUAAAGGCCUACCAAGGCGACGAUCCAUAGCUGGUCUGAGAGGAUGAUCAGCCACAUUGGGACUGAGACACGGCCCAAACUCCUACGG